UACGUAGGGUCCGAGCGUUGUCCGGAAUUACUGGGCGUAAAGAGCUCGUAGGUGGUUUGUCGCGUUGUUCGUGAAAACUCACAGCUCAACUGUGGGCGUGCGGGCGAUACGGGCAGACUUGAGUACUGCAGGGGAGACUGGAAUUCCUGGUGUAGCGGUGGAAUGCGUAGAUAUCAGGAAGAACACCGGUGGCGAAGGCGGCUCGCUGGGCCAGUUCUGACACUCAUCCGCGAAAGCGUGGGGAGCAAACAGG
rnacentral:rRNA from 1 species